AAGACCUUGCACUUUUGGAGCGGCCGAUGUCUGAUUAGCUAGUUGGUGGGGUAAUGGCCUACCAAAGCUUCGAUCAGUAGCUGGUCUGAGAGGACGGCCGGCCACACUGGGACUGAGACACGGCCCAGACUCCUACGGGAGGCAGCAGUGGGGAAUUUUGGACAAUGGGCGCAAGCCUGAUCCAGCCAUGCCGCGUGAGUGAAGAAGGCCUUCGGGUUGUAAAGCUCUUUCAGCCGGGAAGAAAAGGUUGCGACUAAUAAUCGCAAUUCAUGACGGUACCGAAAGAAGAAGCACCGGCUAACUACGUGCCAGCAGCCGCGGUAAUACGUAGGGUGCGAGCGUUAAUCGGAAUUACUGGGCGUAAAGGGUGCGCAGGCGGUUUUGUAAGUCAGAUGUGAAKUCCCCGGGCUUAACCUGGGAACU
rnacentral:rRNA from 1 species